rnacentral:rRNA from 1 species
GCAAGUCGAGGGGUAACAGGAGUAGCUUGCUACUUGCUGACGACCGGCGCACGGGUGCGUAACGCGUAUGCAACCUACCUCUUACUGGAGGAUAGCCCGAAGAAAUUCGGAUUAAUACUCCAUAGUAUUUCUUUCUCACCUGAGAUUGAAAUUAAAGGUUACGGUAAGAGAUGGGCAUGCGUCCUAUUAGCUAGAUGGUAAGGUAACGGCUUACCAUGGCUACGAUAGGUAGGGGGCCUGAGAGGGUGAUC